rnacentral:rRNA from 1 species
UACGUAGGGUGCGAGCGUUAAUCGGAAUUACUGGGCGUAAAGCGUGCGCAGGCGGUUUCACAAGCUAGAUGUGAAAGCCCCGGGCUUAACCUGGGAAUUGCAUUUAGGACUGUGGAGCUAGAGUGCGGCAGAGGGAGGUGGAAUUCCACGUGUAGCAGUGAAAUGCGUAGAGAUGUGGAGGAACACCGAUGGCGAAGGCAGCCUCCUGGGCCGACACUGACGCUCAUGCACGAAAGCGUGGGGAGCAAACAGG